rnacentral:lncRNA from 15 species
UGAAAGCCAUCAUGGACAAGCCCUCUCAUUCUCUCUACACUGAGCUGAGGCAGCUCAGGAGCACGUUCAGCUACAGACUGACCCAGCCCCGAGCCUCGAAGCGGUUUGGAGGCUCGUUUGGACCAUCAGCCAUCAGAUUCCACAACGCCACAGCACCCAGUACCUCCAAACCCCGCAGACAAAGACUGGUUUAAAACUCCUACCUACAACGCACAAGCCUUUUGCACUAUUUAUAUUUAAUUUCCACAAAAUACUAGUUUAGUAUUUUUAGUUUAGUUUUAGUUUUUUAGUUUUAGUCAAGUUUAAUUUUCUGCUUAUAUUUUGCACUCCAUGUCCUACUUGAACAAUGCUGGUGUUUAUACUAAUAAACUAAUAAACUAUACUAUAACUAUAUAUAACUAUAAACUAAUACAAAUUUAUAGUUUAAUAUCUUCUAAUAUUAGUAAUAUUUUUAUUGUGAUAUUCUUUGUUCUCUGUUUUUGCAUUACUUUGCCCUAUUGCUGCUGUGUCAACCUGAAUUUCUCCUAAGGGGGGUAAAUAAAGGAAUAUCUUAUCUUAUCUCUCUUAACUUCUCCACUAGAUAUCACUGAAUCCUACACACAGGUCAGUUAAGUGUUAGCAGGAAAUUACCCUGCUGAACAAAAGAAAACAAAUGAGAAAUGAUAAGUCAUCUACACAGCACCGUCUUGAAGGAUCACACUAAUACCAGAGGUUAAAGGGUAACUACACUCUCAAAUUUUGUUAGAACCCUUCCUUUACCUGCAUAUUUAAAAAAUGCAGAGGAGUGUGGGAGCCAUGACUGUAGGCCUUGUGGCUAAUUAGGCCAGCAUACCUAUUGCCUUGCCUAUCAUGACAGGGUUAGGAAGGGGACCAAGAAUUUGGCUAAACCAAACUUCUAUCUGACAAAUACAAGGAUCGGUAAAUGUUGGCUCUAGUCAUUCUCAUCUCUCUUGUGGUUGGUGGAGGUAUUUCUGCACCUGUGCUGAGCAACAGAGCUGAUGAAGGCACAGCAGAGUUGGAUUUGCUCUUUGACCCUGGCCUCCAGCAUGUUACUGGCCUCCUAACCGAUGAUUAUGGUGAGAGACCCCUUCCUCCUCCUCUGCCACCUGAUACUAGAAAUCCGUAUCAACCUAACCUAGAGGAUGAAUACUACUAACGGAAAUACAAAAGUUCCUGAUGCACAACAAUUAAGCUGAUCUGCCCUGUAUGGAGGAUCAGCUCCAGCAAAAAAAAAAACAACAGCAUAUUCAAAUAGAAACAGAAAAAAAACUUUCUUCUGACAUACAAUCUUCUUGUAUGAACGUUGUUUGCUUAUUUUAUUUAUUAAUAUUUUAUUCAGUGCAUGUUUAGUUAUUUUCCUUAUAAAAACUUAUGAAAGAGAAGCUUAUGGUUGCAUACCUGCUUCAAAAAAGGCCUACAAUGAUGGCUAAAGCUACAGGGGGAGAUUUUCUAAAAAAAGGAAAUGUUUUUUCUUUGCAUUUAAAAAAAUCUUCAUUCAUAUGAAUGAAUAAAUAUCCUUGUGCAAAUGGAUCUGCAGAAAUUGUAGUAUGCAUGCCAGGCCUGUAGGCAGCGGUGUUACUUUGUUUAUGACUUUACUUCUUGUGGUUGCCCUCAAUCUAUGUAGAAGUGAUUAAGUAUCUGGUGCAUGUAAUUAAUGCAUGUCUCUGCUGGUCACAGAAAUGGUGCAGUGACUCUACACUUUGCUGGAAGAGUGUUAAUAAACUCAGAAGAGCCUGCAGCACAAACACAACACCCUAACCUAACCCCACCUUUAUUUGCCAAACUGUUGAAUUGUUUAGUCUUAACUAAUAAGCUCUUAAAAGGUUACAAAUACUCACACACUUACAAACCAUCUGUAGUUGGUUUAUCCAAAUGAAGUGGAACCAAAUUUGGAUAUUGAUGAUGAUGAGGAUGAGUUCCAUGAUUUGGAACAAGCCUUAGUUAUGACUUUAUGUCCAAACUAGUUAAAUUAUACCCCAAGUAAUCAUGUGCAACUCAUUUUAGUAGCUGAUUUAGUUACAAACUAAUUAGUAGUUACUUUACACCCUAACAACAAUCCACAUAGCUGACACUUUCACAUGGCUGGUGCAACCGUUCAUAUCAUUCAGCUAACUCAGAACUCAGAGCCAUGUUUCAAUGGCAACCAUCAGUGACAUCCGCUGACCAGUGGCACCAAAUCACACUGGUCCUGAGUCGAAACCUUUAAUUCAUUUACUUUAUUUUAUGCAGCCAUCAACCUCCUUAGAUUUUCAUAUACACACAAACAAUCCUCUGUUGUUGUAGUAGUGAGCUACUUCAUUUAUAACAUUUUACUCACCAACCUAAGUGAUGAUAUGUUGGGAUGCCGUAACAUCACUAGAGUUGGAGUCAGGCAGCAACAUGGCCAGUCACAUGAUCCGAUGAGAAUUACAGUCAGGACCUCAUCAAGUACAGAUAUAUUAAUGUGUUUGUGCAUAUAUAUGUGAAAGUGAAGCCAAAUGUAAUAAUGACAGGACACCAUGAGAUCUGCAUUAAAAUUUUUAAAUAAAGAAUAGUUCACACCUAAAAAAAUUCCAAAAUAAAGAGAAAUUUCACAUACUACAUGUUGAAUCAAUACAAUUUAAUAUUUAUAAUUACAGAUAUUAAAUUAUUUAUUUAUAUAUGGCAUGUCUAUACACCCUUUGUAUAGCUCCCAUUACUUUACACUUCUCCUGUCUGCCUGAUUGGCUCUUGAGAAGGGAACUCAUAUAAAAGUCAGUGUUGAUCUUGUGAGUCGAACAUGAUGACUUUGAUCAGCAACAGCAGACAACUCGUUUGUUUUGCUAGAGAUACUGUGUUUUUUUUUUUAAUGGAACAAACUGUAGGGACUGGUGAGAUGGCUGAAAUGACAAUUUCCACAUCCUUCAUUAAUGAAUCUUUUUACAGACGUUUUUAUCUUCUGUUAAAUAUAGAUCACAUAAAAUAAUCUGUUACAAAUAAGUGUUAGUGAUACAUGAUGUAGUAAGCCACCCAAGGAAACUUUCUUUUUGUUUUUUUUACUGCAGAACAACUGUGCUGUACCCAUGCUGGACCCAGGACGAUUGAAAAAGAUCUGAUAACAAUCCUUUCAGCCCUUGUUCAGAACACAUCAUAAAGUCUUAAUUCGAAAACUGACACUUUGUCACAACUUUACACCAUUAAGUUCAUUUUAUUAAUGCAAUGUGCAUUAUUAACACGUUGAGAGAAAACUACAGAGGGGGAACCAAUGUGAUAUGCAUGGAAAUUCAUUUGAGGAAGUGAAACUGUUUUGUAAAGCUAAGUUAAAAAGUUAGAAUCCUUUGGGACAAAUCUAAGUCAAGUCUCAGGACUAACGACCAAUCAAACCAAAAAUAGUGACAGAUGCCUGUUUCAAUUGCUCAAAGCCUAAGGUGGCAUCAUAAGAUGGCUUGUUUUGUUUCAUUGACAAAACUCCAGAUCCUUCAAAUAUUCACUAUUCAGUUUAGCAGCAAAUCUCCUUAAUAUAGGAACUGGAGAAUAUUUGCCAUUUUUACUUGAAAAAUAACGCCAAUUAUCUUUCUCUAGCUCUACUCAAGUAUGUAGUCAAGUCACAAGUAUACAUAAGCAAACUGCAAGUAAAAAUGUAAGUCUUCCAGGUAUCUAAAUGCUGACCAAUAAAUGUCAUUAUGGCUUUUAACAUUUUUCAAGUCCUUACAAUUCCUUUGCUUCCUGUGGCAUUGUAAAGCCUGCCCGCUGCUGUCUUUUUUUAAUCAUUCCGAGGGCCAGAUAUAGACUAUAAGCAAUGUCUAUGUGUAUACUGUCCUGUAACAGAGAUAAAGGGUAUUAGCACAAUUUUAGUGUAGCCUCAAUUUUCUGUGUGACAGCACAGGUACAGCACAGCGCUUUUAGUGCAGUGGAAAGAAAGCACAAGUCACACCAAACAUCCCCCUACAUCACUAUUUGCAUUCAAACUCUUAAACUCAACACACACUCAAUGGCAAUCCCUUUAAAUGUCGUGAUAAUGUUCACUGAGGAAGGACACAAUGAUCUGAUGAAAAAA